rnacentral:rRNA from 1 species
UACGUAGGGGGCAAGCGUUAUCCGGAUUUACUGGGUGUAAAGGGAGCGUAGACGGCAGGGCAAGUCUGGAGUGAAAGGCAGGGGCCCAACCCCUGGACUGCUCUGGAAACUGUCCGGCUGGAGUGCAGGAGAGGUAAGUGGAAUUCCUAGUGUAGCGGUGAAAUGCGUAGAUAUUAGGAGGAACACCAGUGGCGAAGGCGGCUUACUGACUGUAACUGACGUUGAGGCUCGAAAGCGUGGGGAGCAAACAGG